rnacentral:lncRNA from 1 species
GAGUACAGACAUAAAACAUGGGGUGCCUUAGAGAAUGCUAGCACAAAAGAUACAACGAUCGAACGAGGCGAGACCUCCUGCCUGGGAACCUCCUAACUACUCCUGAUCAUCAGCGGCCUCCACGAAGAUGACACCAUCGGGGCGGCAGGCGUCGGCAGGAAACUCCACUCCUGGGCUCCAACAUCUGGUCGCAGCAAACGGAUCAAGGGGACAAGGGGAGAGCAAAGCAGCGGUGAGUACUCAUCCAAAUUACUCGCAAGACUUACAUCAAAACUAUGCUAAAUAUGCACCAGUAUCAAAGAAGGGAUUUGUUAUAUGUGGACUGACUACAGUAAUGCGAGAAUAGAGAGAGAAGGCCUAGUCCUAGCGAAGACUAGCAUCUUCAGGGUCUUGCAGCAAUAGACGAGAGUAUAAGAAGGGUAACACAUUAAUAGUCAUAUUGUUGCAGCAAUAUUUAAAGUGAGGUCACGCCUAAAGAUCCUCCCUCGACUCCCUGCGAGGAAGCAAUCCCGAGG